UACUAAAUCUAAAAAUUAAAAGGGCCACCCACUUCUCAAGUUGCCCUCCAGCCGAGAGAAUUCGGCAGCCGCUGAAGCUGCCCUCCAGCCAAGACCUAUCUUCCUCUGCCACUCUCAAUCCUCGCAGGGCCACCCACUUCUCAAGUUGCCCUCCAGCCGAGAGAAUUCGGCAGCCGCUGAAGCUGCCCUCCAGCCAAGACCUAUCUUCCUCUGCCACUCUCAAUCCUCGCAGAUUUUGUAUCCUGUGCGCGGGCUGGACUGGUAGGAAAAUAUUGGGAAAUUUUCCGAUAAAUCGGUAUUUCGCCGAUAUUUCGCCGAUAUAUCGGAGAUUUUGCCGAUUUUUUGUCGAUUUUUCCGUCGAUCGAUAAUCGGUGACGAUUAUCGUUUCGGCGCUGUCCGAUAUCCGAUAUUUCUUCGAAAUAUCGGCGACAUUUUCCGAUUUUUCAAUCCCUGCUCCGGUCCAGCCGGGAACAUAAUACAUAUCUCCAGAAAGAUCUGCGCCUCUCAUUUCAAUGUUGACCGCUUUU